rnacentral:lncRNA from 1 species
AUUACAUGAUUAUUACAUGAUAUUAAAUCAGAAAUUAAAAUAUAAAGAGCAAGAACUACAUGUUGAUCAUAUCAACAUGUUUCUAUGCUACAUCUAGUGUAUGUAAAAUAUAAUAGAUCAGAUCUAUUACCUUGCAAGUUAGAUGUUCUAACUUUACUGAUCCAGAUUUGAGGAUGAUGUUGUGAGCCACACAUGCAUCCGAUCUCUAGGAGUCAUCCACACGAGCUCACGAAUCAC